CUUGGUCGAGGAAGUAAAAGUCGUAACAAGGUUUCCGUAGGUGAACCUGCGGAAGGAUCAUUACCGAGUUCAUGCCCUUACGGGUAGAUCUCCCACCCUUUGUAUACUAUACCUUUGUUGCUUUGGCGGGCCGCCUAGCUACUGGCUUCGGCUGGUAUGUGCCCGCCAGAGGACCCAAAACCCUGAAUUAUUAGUGUCGUCUGAGUAAAAUAUUUAAUAUUUAAAACUUUCAACAACGGAUCUCUUGGCUCUG
rnacentral:misc_RNA from 1 species